rnacentral:rRNA from 1 species
AGUGAACGCUGGCGGUAGGCCUAACACAUGCAAGUCGAACGGCAGCACAGUAAGAGCUUGCUCUUACGGGUGGCGAGUGGCGGACGGGUGAGGAAUACAUCGGAAUCUACUUUUUCGUGGGGGAUAACGUAGGGAAACUUACGCUAAUACCGCAUACGACCUACGGGUGAAAGCAGGGGAUCUUCGGACCUUGCGCGAUUGAAUGAGCCGAUGUCGGAUUAGCUAGUUGGCGGGGUAAAGGCCCGCCAAGGCGACGAUCCGUAGCUGGUCUGAGAGGAUGAUCAGCCACACUGGAACUGAGACACGGUCCAGACUCCUACGGGAGGCAGCAGUGGGGAAUAUUGGACAAUGGGCGCAAGCCUGAUCCAGCCAUACCGCGUGGGUGAAGAAGGCCUUCGGGUUGUAAAGCCCUUUUGUUGGGAAAGAAAAGCAGCAGGUUAAUACCCCGCUGUCCUGACGGUACCCAAAGAAUAAGCACCGGCUAACUUCGUG